GCCGGCUUAGCUCCAAUGGUAGAGCAGUCGCCUUGUAAGCUGCGCGUCAGAGGUUCGAUUCCUUUACCCGGCACCA
rnacentral:tRNA from 1 species